rnacentral:rRNA from 1 species
UACAGAGGGUGCGAGCGUUAAUCGGAAUUACUGGGCGUAAAGCGCGCGUAGGCGGCUUUGCAAGUCGGGUGUGAAAUCCCCAGGCUUAACCUGGGAACUGCAUUCGAGACUGCAUUGCUAGAGUAUGGAAGAGGGAAGCGGAAUUCCCGGUGUAGUGGUGAAAUGCGUAGAUAUCGGGAGGAACACCAGUGGCGAAGGCGGCUUUCUGGUCUGUUCUUGACGCUGAGGCGCGAAAGCUAGGGUAGCAAACGGG